ACUGCUGUGUUACCGGAAUAGCCCUCAUCCAGCCAACAAAUUAUUAAAAGAAAGGCAGUGCAAACACGUUGGUGUUCUCUAAAGGACUGCUACAUUCGGGAGUUGCGCCAAAUAAGAGAUGUUGGAAGAAGUGGAAGUUCGCCAUCUAAGCGCAAACAAUACAUUUAUUUUGAUCAACUUGAUUUUUUGCGACCAGUACUGGAAACAAGAAGUACCAGCGGGAAUCUCCAAAGAUCCAGUGGUCCAGAACCUGACCAUGACAGCUCAGAUGCACCACCAGAGUCAACAGCUAAAGCGACAACUGAAAUAUCCACUGAGGCCCCUUCUUGCUAGUUCUCUACGAUGAUGAAG